AAUCAACGCUGGCGGCGUGCCUAACACAUGCAAGUCGAACGCGAAAGCCCCUUCGGGGGUAAGUAGAGUGGCGUCCGGGUGAGUAACACGUAGGUAAUCUACCUUCGGGUGGGGAAUAACCAGUCGAAAGAUUGGCUAAUACCGCAUAAUGCAGCGGCACCUAAUGGUGAUUAGUUGUUAAAGCGGGGGAUCGUAAGACCUCGCGCCUGAAGAGGAGCCUGCGGCAGAUUAGCAGUUGGUGAGGUAAUGGCUCACCAAGGCUUCGAUCUGUAGCUGGUCUGAGAGGACGGCCAGCCACACUGGGCACUGACACACGGGCCAGACUCCUACGGGAGGCAGCAGUGGGGAAUUUUGGGCAAUGGGCGAAAGCCUGACCCAGCAACGCCGCGUGAGGGAGGAAAUCCUU
rnacentral:rRNA from 1 species